rnacentral:tRNA from 1 species
GCCCUCGGUGGCUCAGAUGGAUAGAGCGUCUGCCAUGUAAGCAGGAGAACUCGGGUUCGAGUCCCGGUCGGGGCA